GGGAUAUUACUCGGGCAGGGGUGACCCAACAACGACUAAAGUAGCAGCCAGGACAGUUACCUUGAAUAGCUGUCGGCGGGGCGGAAGCGGCAGUGAAUGCAGUAAUCGUGAAUAUCGCCACGUUAUCCGAAAAUGGACCAGUCCACGUCAGGCCAAUGUUUAGCUCUCGGCUGAUAUCUGGCAAGUAACAUUCACAUCACAAAACGUGAAGGAAUUUCUAUCUAUAAAGAGGGAUUUUCUUUUGCAAUUAAAUAGCAUUACAAUCAACAAAUCCAUCGGCAACAUAGUAGACAUUGCCUUAGGUCAGAACUGGCAAUCUCAUAGAGAACAGGUCACCUCCUAAGACCUCAAAGUAUUUCAAGCUACAUUUUAGAACAAUGCAACCUGCUGGAUUGGGAUCUCAAUCACUGUCAUAAACAUUUGCUGCCAUCAUCUUCAAUGCAAAGUGACUGCGAUGGGUUCCAGAUGGGCAGGAUUCUAAUUUACAGAGGAACACCAGGAAGGAUUAGAAGAGGCUAUGAACACAGUCUUUUAAUCCUUCAAUACAAAGAGAUGCCUGUGUUCUGGAUAAUUGCAAAUAUCACAAGCAUGUUCAAACAAAAGAAAGGAUGAUGCUUCUGCUAACUAUCAUACAAGAGGUUUAUCGACAACGAUCUGAACAACUGGAAGCUAUCAACAUUCAAAAACAAAACUAAUUCUCAGUUGGAAAAGCAUGGGUUAAUAAAGAAUAGCAAGUACCUAUUUAUUAAAGGUGAACUGAGCCUGUCCAAUUGAAUUAUCUAAUGAAGUAACAAGGUUGAGAGGUGUAGCUAGUAUUGUAGCCCUAUAUUUGAGUAUUCAGGAUGUAUUUUAUUAAAUGUUUAUACAACAUAAAAUUCAUCCUCUUUGGUUGUGAUGUCCUAUACAGACCUAAUCAGAAAACGGAAGUACAUCAUAUUAUAGAUACAGUAGUUCUGUGGGUACACAAUAACGGGAGUCAUAGAAUGAUUUUCUAACUGAGGAGAAGUAUGCAGGUGGUUCCCCUAAGGGUCAGUAUGAGGACUAUCCUUUUCUUAUUAUAUUUAUUUGGUUUCAACUUGGGUUUAAAGACUAUUAUUUGAAAGGAUGAAGACAAUAGGCAGGUGUAGGAGAAGGGAUACGUUCAGACUGAUGGUUUGAGAUGUGUCUAUUUUAAUGCAAGGAGUAUCAUGAACAAAGCAGAUGAGCUUAGAGUGUGGAUCAAUACUUGGAACUAUGAAGUUGUGGGAAUUACAGAGGCUCGGAUGGCUCAGGGGUAGGAAUGCUUACUUUGAGCACCAGGCUUUACAUAUUUCAGAAAGGAUAGGGCUGGAGGGAAAAGAGGUGGGGGUGUGGCACUGUUGAUCAGAGAUAGUGUUGUGGCUGCAGAGAAGGAGGAGGUCAUGGAGAGAUUAUCUACUGAGUCUCUGUGGGUGGAAGUUAGAAACAGGAAGGGGUCAAUAACUCUACUGGGUGUUUUUUAUAGACCACCCAAUAGUAACAGGGAGUUCAAGGAGCAGAUAGGGAGACAGAUGCUGGAACGAUGCAAUAGUAAAAGGGUUUGUCAUGAUGGGAGAUUUUAAU